rnacentral:lncRNA from 1 species
UCCGUCAUAUAUCAAUUUGUGCUUUGUUUGUCAUUCAUCAAAACCUACAAAAGAAUACACGUUUAGUAUAUCGCAUUGAGAACGUGUUUCCAACAAUAAUAACUACCUACGUCAGGUAUAUUUAACAUACAUCUAUGAUCACACUCAGAACAUGAUUAGUUUCAGAUUUGUCUAAUGGAAACAAAAGUUGUUGCAUCUGCCCAUUAAGAACAACUGAAAAAUAAUAUGCAAAUCACAAUGGAGCAAUCCAUCUUAACAAUUGAAAUUACAAAACACCAACAUCAGACCCAUUGUCCAUUUUCAGAAUUCGCAAGUCCUAUUCAUGUCUCACUCAAAAUAUAAGGAGCCAUUUGAUUAAACCAACCCAUCCAAUCAAACUAAACAAGUCAAGAGCUUGAUUAUAAGUAUUUGAUAGAUAUUCAGCCCUGUCUGCACAUUUCGUAUGAACCUUUAACUUUUGAAGCUUGAACUAUGGUUGACUUAUAAAGCUAUAAGAUGGUCAUAAUGAUUCUAAAGAUGCUCCUCGCUUUAGCAAUAUAUGACACCACUCAGGCUAUCAGACUUCAAGCAAAAAGUAUAAGAAGCUUGAUUUCCACUUUUUCCAUAUCUAUAAGAAAAAUAGAUAGAUUAUAAUCGCUUUUGUUCUGAGGAGCUCAGCUUCAGUGAUUUCUAUAUAUGUUAAGAGUUCCAGCUUCACAUUACUUCUCUAAUUAAUUGGACGAACACAAUUCUAUUGCCUAGCAUGACAAGAAAAAUGGCAAUCAUUCAUGGUUGGCACUUGACACCUGAUUAAGAUGCAAGGACAAAUAAGUUGGUUCAUACAAAAUUCAAGUGCUUUUAAUACAAUCUGGUGAAGAUCAUACUCUCUGAUAUCUGUGAUGUGACAAUACACCAGAAGCUUUUCAUCUCUAUUUCUAAGUGUGAGAAUGCACGGGAGAAAACAUUAUUGAUGAAUUUUGACAAUCGUACAAUGAGCUCUAUAUAUAUAAAAUACAUUUCCUACUCCUAAUACAUAUGGGAUUAGGAUUAUUUACUACUAUUUAACUAUCAAACUACCACUCCCCCUCAAGCUGGUGCAUAUAAAUCAUAUGUACCGAGCUUGUUACAUAUAUAACUAAUACGAGGAUCAGUGAACGACUUGAUGAAAAUAUCAGCAAACUGAUCAUUCGCCUUCACAAAUUUUAUAGCGAUAUCUCCCAAGAGUAUCUUUUCUCUAACAAAGUGACAGUCAAUCUCGAUGUGUUUAGUUCUCNNNNNNNNNNNNNNNNNNNNNNNNNNNNNNNNNNNNNNNNNNNNNNNNNNNNNNNNNNNNNNNNNNNNNNNNNNNNNNNNNNNNNNNNNNNNNNNNNNNNNNAAAGUGACAGUCAAUCUCAAUGUGUUUAGUUCUCUCAUGGAACACUGGAUUUGACGCAAUAUGAAAAGCAGCUUGAUUAUCACACACAAGUCGCAUCUGACUAAUCUCACCAAAUUUCAACUUCAUGAGCAACUGUUUGAUCCAAAUUAGCUCACAUGUUGCCAUAGCCAUUGCUUGAUAUUCUGCUUCUACACUAGACCGAGCAACCACAUUCAGUUUCUUACUCUUCCAAGACACCAAAUUUCCUCCUACUAAGACACAAUAUCCAGACGUAGAACGUCUAUCAGAAGGUGAUCCUGCCCAAUCAGCAUCUGAGUAUCCAACGAUCUGCUCAUGGCUUCGAUCCGCAAAUAAUAGGCCAUUGCCUGGAGCUGAUUUUAUAUACCGAAGAAUGCGGACAACUACAUCCCAAUGGCUAUCACAGGGAGAAUCCAUAAACUGACUCACAACACUCAUAGAAAAGGAAAUGUUAGGUCUAGUCACUGUGAGGUAAUUUAAUUUACCAAACAACUGUCUAUAUCUUGCAGGAUCGCUAAGAGGCUCCCCCUGUCCUGGGGGAAGUUCAGAAUUUGGAUCCAUUAGAGUCUCAACAGGUCUACAACCUGUCAUUCUUAUCUCCUCAAGAAUAUCUAAGGCAUACUUCUGUUGUGAGAUCACAAUAUUUGAGCUAGACUGAGCGACCUCAAUACCCAGAAAAUACUUUAAUCUGUCCAGAUCCUUAGUCUGAAAUUGCUGAAAGAGAUGUUCCAUCAACUUACUAAUACCAUCCUGAUCAUUUUCGGUAAUAACAAUAUCGUCAACAAAAACAACCAGAUAAAUAAAGUGAUUUGAAGCAGAAUGCCGAUAAAAUACAGAGUGAACAGCUUCACUAUGAGUCAUGCCAAACUCCUGAAUAACUGUGUUGAAUUUACCAAACCAUGCUCGAGGAGACUGUUUUAGACCAUAGAGGGACCGGUGCAAUCGACAUACAAGGCCACUAGACUCCCCCCGGCAACAAAACUAGGUGGUUGCUCCAUAUAAACCUCAUCCUCAAGGUCACCGAGAAGACAAGCAUUCUUAUUGUCCAACUGAUAGAGAGGCCAAUGGCGAACAACAGUCAUGGAUGGAAGAAGGCGGAUUAAUGCAAUUUUAGCCACGGGAGAAAAAGUAUCACAGUAAUCGAGUCCAAAUA